AUCUUCGGAUUUUGUAUUUUGACCAUGGUGUUGUACUAUUGGGGUGUUUUGUCCCCCAUGAACAAAUUUAUAUUUUAUGUUAAUGUUAUUUAUUUAUGUUUUUAAUUUUGUGUGUUUAAUAAAUUUUUGGUUGAUUGAGUGGCAAACCCUUCUAGAUUGGUUGCUCCUCAAGAAGUACCCAAUGAAGGUGCAUCCGAGCUUGGAUGGCAAUGAUAAGAAUAAACAAGUGAAUGAAGCUAAGGUACAUGGUUAC
rnacentral:lncRNA from 1 species